UAGCCUGGUUGGCUAGCUCAUGCUAGAGUGGAGCUAGCAGUCACGGCUCGAAUCCCCAUUUGCACAAUUAUUAAGCCAUCAAAUAUGGCCGGGGGCUGGACCCCUAUAGUCGUUUUACACGUGAACAAUUCUUUGACACCCCCUCUGUAGUAGCAUGGUCUCCUCCAAAGCUUAGGGCCACUAAGAUUAGCACUUCAACUCCGAAGCCAACAAUCAACGCAGAAAGUAUAUAUGUAGAACAUGGCAGCAACGUAGCUGACGUUCGAUCCAAGCAAGCAGAAAAACAGCAGUGGAUCAGGA
rnacentral:lncRNA from 1 species